AUUGAACUCUGGCGGCAGGCUUAACACAUGCAAGUCGAUCGGGCGGCGGACGGGUGAGUAAUGUCUGGGAAACUGCCCGAUGGAGGGGGAUAACUACUGGAAACGGUAGCUAAUACCGCAUAACAUCAGAUGUGACCCGAUGGGAUUAGAUAUUUGGUGGGGUAAUGGAUCACCUAGGCGACGAUCCAUAGCUGGUCUGAGAGGAUGACCAGCCACACUGGAACUGAGACACUGUCCAUACUCCUACGGGAGGCAGCAGUGGGGAAUAUUGCACAAUGGGCGAAAGCCUGAUGCAGCCAUGCCGCGUGUGUGAUGAAGGCCUUCGGGUUGUAAAGCACUUUCAGCGAGGAGGCGUUACUCGCAGAAGAAGCACCGGCUAACUCCGUGCCAGCAGCCGCGGUAAUAC
rnacentral:rRNA from 1 species